CGAUCAGUGUUGGCGGGCCGCCAUGUGCCCUGUAUCGGGCGUGCGCAGCUGGGCUUGCUGCACAGCUGUGAACCGGUGUCAAUUCGAUGGUACGUGGGAAGUACGUUUCCAGCUGCGUGUAUCUCUGUGAAGGACUGCCAUUCCUGUCUGCUAUGGAAUACGACGGGACGCCAUGUGUAAAGCUUGUAGACGGAGACACAACUCCAGGUUUCUGCAAGGACGGAAAAUGCGAGCUGCUCGAAGCUGCAGAACCUGUGCAAUAAGUCCUGUGGUAUCUCCAUGAACUUUUUGAAACUUCAAGUUGCAGACAACUUCAGCGGCCUCUCGUUUUCGAUAAUUUAAUUCUAAGUUAGGCAGAAGAAUUGAACAAUAUCCACUGCAACACUCGAAUAAAUGCUCCAACUGUAUGUUUGUGGUGGUCAUAUUUAAGGAACUCUUGGAUCGGGACAUUUG